rnacentral:rRNA from 1 species
UACAGAGGGCGCGAGCGUUAAUCGGAAUUACUGGGCGUAAAGCGCGCGUAGGUGGCGGCGUAAGUCGGGUGUGAAAGCUCCGAGCUCAACCUGGGAAUUGCAUUCGAUACUGCAUUGCUGGAGUGCUGGAGAGGAGGGCGGAAUUCCCGGUGUAGCGGUGAAAUGCGUAGAUAUCGGGAGGAACAUCGGUGGCGAAGGCGGCUCUCUGGACCAGUACUGACACUCAAGUGCGAAAGCGUGGGGAGCAAACAGG